rnacentral:rRNA from 1 species
GUAGGUGGCAAGCGUUGUCCGGAAUUAUUGGGCGUAAAGCGCGCGCAGGCGGUCCUUUAAGUCUGAUGUGAAAGCCCACGGCUCAACCGUGGAGGGUCAUUGGAAACUGGGGGACUUGAGUACAGAAGAGGAAAGCGGAAUUCCAAGUGUAGCGGUGAAAUGCGUAGAGAUUUGGAGGAACACCAGUGGCGAAGGCGGCUUUCUGGUCUGUAACUGACGCUGAGGCGCGAAAGCGUGGGGAGCAAACAGGAUUAGAUACCCUGGUAGUCCACGCCGUAAACGAUGAGUGCUAAGUGUUAGGGGGUUUCCCGCCCCCUUAGUGCUGCAGCUAACGCGUUAAGCACUCCGCCUGGGGGAGUACGGCCCGCAAGGCUG